GCGUAACACGUGGAUAAUCUGCCUUCAGGCUUGGAAUAACCUUCCGAAAGGAGGGCUAAUGCCGAAUGAGCUCACGGGGACCUCGGUCCCUGCGGGAAAAGGUGGCCUCUAUUUAUAAGCUAUCACCUGAAGAUGAGUCCGCGGCCCAUCAGCUAGUUGGCGGGGUAAUGGCCCACCAAGGCUACGACGGGUAGCUGGUCUGAGAGGACGAUCAGCCACACUGGGACUGAGACACGGCCCAGACUCCUACGGGAGGCAGCAGUGGGGAAUCUUGCGCAAUGGGCGAAAGCCUGACGCAGCAACGCCGCGUGAGUGAUGAAGGUCUUUGGAUCGUAAAGCUCUUUCGGCUGGGAAGAAACGCCUCGUGGCUAAUAUCCACGGGGUUUGACGGUACCAGCAGAAGAAGCACCGGCUAACUCUGUGCCAGCAGCCGCGGUAAUACAGAGGGUGCAAGCGUUGUUCGGAAUUAUUGGGCGUAAAGCGCGCGCAGGCGGGAUUGCAAGUCGGAUGUGAAAGCCCUCGGCUCAACCGGGGAAGUGCGUUCGAAACUGCAGUUCUUGAGUGUCGGAGAGGGUGGCGGAAUUCCCGGUGUAGAGGUGAAAUUC
rnacentral:rRNA from 1 species